rnacentral:rRNA from 1 species
AACGAACGCUGGCGGCGCGCCUAACACAUGCAAGUCGAACGAGAAGGCGUAGCAAUACGCUUGUAGAGUGGCGAACGGGUGAGUAAUACGUGGGUGACCUACCCUCGAGUGGGGAAUAACCCGCCGAAAGGCGGGCUAAUGCCGCGUACGCUUCCGUCCUCACGGGGACGGAAGGAAAGCUGUACCGUGGGUACGGCGCUCAAGGAUGGGCUCACGUCCUAUCAGCUUGUUGGUAGGUAACGGCCUACCAAGGCUACGACGGGUAGCUGGUCUGAGAGGACGAUCAGCCACACUGGCACUGCGACACGGGCCAGACUCCUACGGGAGGCAGCAGUGAGGAAUAUUGCGCAAUGGGCAAAGCCUGACGCAGCGAC